rnacentral:rRNA from 1 species
UAACCUGCCCAAGAGACUGGGAUAACACCUGGAAACAGAUGCUAAUACCGGAUAACAACACUAGACGCAUGUCUAGAGUUUAAAAGANGGUUUUUCUGCUAUCACUCUUGGAUGGACCUGCGGUGCAUUAGCUAGUUGGUAAGGUAACGGCUUACCAAGGCAAUGAUGCAUAGCCGAGUUGAGAGACUGAUCGGCCACAUUGGGACUGAGACACGGCCCAAACUCCUACGGAAGGCAGCAG